AAUUCUCGGCAACGGAUAUCUCGGCUCUCGCAUCGAUGAAGAACGUAGCAAAAUGCGAUACCUGGUGUGAAUUGCAGAAUCCCGCGAACCAUCGAGUUUUUGAACGCAAGUUGCGCCCGAGGCAUUUCGGCCGAGAGCACGUCUGCCUGGGCGUCA
rnacentral:rRNA from 1 species